UUCUAGCCGCGAUGGAAAUGGAAAUCCUUUUUUGUCCGCCGCGGCGGAUAAAAAAGAUUGGAAUGAACAGCGGGAAGACUU
rnacentral:sRNA from 1 species